rnacentral:pre_miRNA from 1 species
GCGCACGGUGUGAGCUGGUCACAUGAGGUGCAGUGUGAUAGUGGAAGACACUGCAUACCAUGUGAUCUCGCUACACGGUGCA